UUCGUCCAAUUGAAGCAGAGGACAGUGGCGGACGGGUGAGUAACGCGUGAGGAACCUGCCUUUCAGAGGGGGACAACAGUUGGAAACGACUGCUAAUACCGCAUGAUGUAUCUGGAAGGCAUCUUCCGGAUACCAAAGAUUUAUCGCUGUGGGAUGGGCUCGCGUCUGAUUAGAUAGUUGGCGGGGUAACGGCCCACCAAGUCGACGAUCAGUAGCCGGACUGAGAGGUUGAACGGCCACAUUGGGACUGAGAUACGGCCCAGACUCC
rnacentral:rRNA from 1 species